CCAAGCACGGCAUCCUCCGCGCCAUCGAGCUCGGGUACCGCCACUUCGAUACCGCCGCCAUCUAUCAGUCCGAGGACGUUCUCGGCGAGGCCAUCGCCGAGGCCUUGCAGGCCGGCCUCAUCCACUCCCGUGCCGAGCUCUUCAUCACCUCAAAGAUCUCGUGCGCCGACGCUCACCGUGACCUGGUCGUCCCCGCCAUCCGCGAGUCUCUCAGGUGAAGAAGAAGAAUAGCUUCAUGCUCCUCUUUUACUGCUUUCUUCUGCUUCGAGUUGAUGCAAAUUACGGGGAUUAACAUUGAUUUCCUGUCAUAAUUUUGUGAUUUGAUCUCUGUAAUUGGAGCUUCUGAAAGCGUAUCGAAUUUUUCCUCUUGGUGUUAGGAAUCUCAAAUUGGAUUACCUUGAUCUCUACCUCAUACAUUGGCCCAUGAGAUUGAAGGCUGGAGAAUCCUAUCCUCCUAUAGAGAGCCACCACAUUCUCCCCUUCGACUUGAAGUCUGUUUGGGAAGGCAUGGAGGAAUGCCACAGGUUGGGGUUGGCUAAGCAGAUUGGUGUUAGCAACUUCACCACAUGGAAGCUUGCAGAGCUGCUCCGAUAUGCUAAAGUACCUCCUGCUGCUGUCCAGGUAGUCUGAUUUCCCUUUACCUUUCCAUGAUUAUUGUUGGAUGUUCUGUGUGAGUCAUAGUGAAAAGGGACGAUUUUGCAGGUGGAGAUGAAUCCAACCUGGCAGCAGAAGAAGCUGAGGGAGUUCUGCAAGGAAAAGGGUGUUCAUGUCAUUGCCUAUUCUCCUUUAGGAGGCCAAGAUAUGUUCGUGGGCAAGAACUUAGUGAUGGAGUCCCAAGUGCUUAAAGAGAUAGCCAAGGCAAAAGGAAAGACUCUGGCUCAGGUUGCUCUCUUAAGAACUACUUCAUCCUGUUAGUAGAUUAAAUCAAUACUGGUAUAGGAUUAUUCAAGUUGGUCAUGAUAACAGAUGUAAUUUCCAAGUUCAGCUAUUAUUUCACUAGAAUAAAAUUAAAAAAUUGUUCUUGAAAUUAAGUUGGAUGGUUGUCAUGAUAAGAAAACAAUAUGAUCCCAAAUCAUUUGCUCCCUUUUGUCUUUUUGAUAAAAUUUCAAACCACUAGUUAAUCAUUUGAAAAGGAAAUCAACAUUAGGGCUUAUAUUUCUAUUCUCUGCUCAAGAAAAAGGAUCACUGGAACUUGAUUACAGGGUAGAAUCAAUUCCUGAUGCCUUCAUGCUUAAUUCAAGUUUUUGAUGCUAGAUAACAUAUGGCACUGAUUUAUAGUUCAAAAGUUAUUCAUCUCAUGUAAUGUUUGUUGUAUGUACUAACAAUUAGAUUGAACUUUAUCUUGUAAAUGAGCAAGAUAUUAUGACAUAUCGGAGAACCUUUCAUUAACUUGAUUGAUCACCAGAAACUGUAGGUGGUCAAAUGUUACUAUUUUUAAUCUCUUACGAAACAGAUCAAAACACUUUGGGCUACAAUGAUCAUGGAAACAAGAGAAUUAUAAACUAGUGGUAACCAGCUGACCUGUGUGGUACUAAAACUCGCAUCUGAAAGGAAUGGGGAAUGGUGUCCAUCAAAUCAUUGCAACUUAAGAGUUUCUUUAUUCUUUCAAUCUCAAUUAGACAAAAACAAACUUUCCUCAGAAAAGAAAAAAAAAAAAAUCAAACCAACUUAUUCGACGAUACCGCUUGUUUUGUUUAUCUUUUUUUCUCUUUUAUUUUUUUGCUGCAUGUCAGAUUUUGUGGCAGAUUAGCUGUAUGAUAUGCAUUGUAGAAUGAGAGGCCCCGUAGAAUUUAAAUCAUAGUGCAUCAACAGACUGUGUUAAUCUAGCUAUGAACUUGAGCUUGAUGGUUCUGUUUUCAGGUAUCCUUGAGAUGGGUUUAUGAGCAAGGAGCGAGUAUGAUCGUAAAGACCUUGAACAAGGAGAGAAUCGAGGAGAACAUGAAAAUUUUUGAUUGGGAGUUGAGUGAAGAAGACAAACACAAAAUUAGUCAACUCCCCCAGUGCAAGAGAGUCACACUGCGUGCAAUGCUCUCAACAGAAGCGGCUUCCAAGCUACCUGAUGAAGAUGAGGUCGUUGAAGAAUAAAGGAGUCGGUGCUAUUAGAUCUCUUAAGACGAUUUCAGUACUUAACCACUACAUCUAUGAUAUUUGAUGAAUACAGAUCUGCUGCAGGAAUUAAUAGCUACUAUAUCUCUACCUGUUUGUGUUCGGGCUGUAUGCAGUGAGUUGAUCUAUGGAUUUAGCGACAAUCCAAUGCUUAUGUUUUUCCUUUUCUUUUCUUGUUUUUAGGAUACUUGUGUUAUGCUGUGUUGGCCAAAGGAAUAAGAUGAAGAAGUAUUUUUAUUAAUAAAUGUGGUGAAAGAUUGAGAUAUGGAAUAUAUUUGGUCCAAUAUUUUUUUCAAAAAUACUGUCCAAGAAAAAGGAAAAAAAAUUUGUAAGAGCAGUUCUUUUUCUAUUGGAAUAAAUUAUUUUGGAUGAUUACACUAUACGGUUCCAAAAAAAAAUUACAUCAUAAUCUUGCAUCAUGAUGAUGGUCUAAACCCCUUAAAAUUUCUAUAUUAACCUAGAACAAGAAAAAAAAUUGCAAUUAAUCUUCCAGAUACAAAGCUACACUCAAGGAGAUGAAUUUGAGUUGAAAAAUAAAAUAGAAAAAUGAACCUAGAAAAGGAGCAAUAUAUUGAAUAAAUCAAACAAGAACAUUUGAUCAUCAUAUUGGAUCUGUUUGCAGUUCUAAAAUCACAUACAAAUUGUUCAAAUUAAGCCUCCCAAGAAGCAGUGAUGGAAGAAGCCAUAUUGUUCUGCUCUAUAAAACCAAACCACCUCCAAAUUUGAAGCUCAAAAUGAAUACAAAAUAAUACAUCAGAGCACAAGAAAUUGUUUCCGCACGUGUCCAAUCUUAAAGUCUAACGAUAUUAGCAGCCUAAUCAGAUUCUAAACUACUAUAUACAGAAUACCGAAAGAUUGUUGCCGAUGUCAGCUAUAUACAGAAUCCUAAUCAGCUAGAGUCUUAACAUCCAAAUCUACUCAUCCAAAUCUACUCGUAUAGUGAUUUUAUAGUCUUGAUGAUGUAUCUGGUCCUUAGACUUGAGAUAUCAAAAAUGUCCUGUACGAGUACUCCACUCUUUCAUAACGAAUUUAUAGGUCUGUAAGUUUCAGAUCUAAUACUACCGAUCAUCGGGAGUGGUAACCAACCUUACGAGAGCUAUUGAGUAUCAAUAGAGAAUCAUCUUGCUCAAACAAAUCCCUGGUCAAUGUCAUUGGGAUUCAGAGAGAAAUACUACCAAUCAUCGGGAGUGGUAACCAACCUUACGAGAGCUAUUGAGUAUCAAUAGAGAAUCAUCUUGCUCAAACAAAUCCCUGGUCAAGGUCAUUGGGAUUGAGAGAGAAAGAGUUCUCUAGGAGAAUCCGAUUAGAACAAGACUCACAGCUAGCUUGAUAUUGGGCCUAUAAGGUCUCAUACAUAUGGUAUGUAUUACGAUGAGUAGAGAUUCGAAUUUGAGAUAUCCGCUAGAGCCCCUAUCUUAUUGGAUAUCCAAUAAGCUCAUGAAUUAUUGGAUCCUUUGAAUAAAAUCCAAUAAGAACCAAUAAGAGAUUAUUGGGUAGAGACCCACUAAUCUAAGAGACUUGGGUAAUUGGAUGGAGAUCCAGUACCAAAUAUGAUAGGAUCCAUUAGGGUUAAGUUGACAAAAGGCCUCUAUAAAUAGGAGAGAACCAAAGAGCAAUGGGCUAGGUUUUUUUUAGAUGCCACCUCCUAUUCUCCUCUCUCCCUCUCCUCCAUAUAUUGCAACCCCUAUUUAGGGCGUGUGGACAACAAGAAGGGGUAACCCAUUCUUAAUUGCGUGGUGAGCGCGAUGAGGAGUUUUGGGCAACGACUUGAGGAGUAUAUUCGCAACCCCUGCCAUAUGGAUCACCACUAGAGAGGAGGGCAUUUGAACUUCAUCUAAUCCCAUAGAUCUGUAGGAAUUCAUGAAUAUACAAUCUCUAUACGUAAUUCUCUUACGCAUGGUUUUUCGGUUUCCUGGGUUUUUGUGCACCAACUUUUGCAUGACGAUAAGAAAUAAUUUUCUGUAGGAGUUCUAGGAUUUUUAUUUUCUAUUCUUCCGAUGCAUAUAUGAUGUCACUCUAGAUUUUCCAACAGAUUUGUCUGAGCAAAAAUACAUGGGAUAUUCCUCUCAUAAUACCGAGAGCGGAUAAUCCUCUAUCGACACUUAAUGACUCUUGUAAGGUUGGCUACCACUCCCGAUGACCAUCUGUGCUAGAUUUGAAACUUCUAGGCCUAUAAGUCUAGUAUUAAGGAGUACUCAUACAGGACAUCCUUGGUGUCUCAAGUAUAAGGAUCAGAUACAUCACUAUGACGAUAGAAUCGUUGUCUGACAAUAAGCAUCAUCAACUAUCCAGCAUCCCGUGAGUGGUUCAAUCAGUGAACUUAUUCUCAAAUGAGCACAUGCACUAUAUCUCUAGUGUCUUCACACGAGCAGCUAUGAGACCAAUUGCCUCCAUCAUAUGAACAAGUAUACAAUACACUAGUUUGUCCAAUUAUCUCGAUGUCCCUCUCGAGUACCCUAUGACCAGGAUUAUUUAGGGUCUGUAUUUAAAGAUAAAUCGGUCUCAUUAUCGUGAUCUCAUCACGAUCUAUUUCUUAUUACAUAAAUCCAUGGACAUUAUAAUAUAUACAUAUAAUAAACAAUAUAAAGUGAGAAAAUGCUAGAAUAAUAAUAAGCAAAAAAACUUUGUGUCAUAUCACACGUGUCAUCACUUACGUGAUUGACUUGUAAGACACCUAUGACUAGCACUAAGCUGCUACGCCAUAGUCCCUAGACGAUAUUAGAGAUCUAAUCUAUCGGAUAUUUCUAUCCUUGGUUACCAUGUAUCUAUAGUCCAUCAUUCAUCUAAUAUCGUAGAUAUCGUAUAUUGGGCAUGGUAAUGUCAGACCCAUACGGAAUCGUGUCAGAGUUUCACUCUAAUCGGAUUCUUCCAGAGAAUUUCUCUCUCAAUCUGAGCGACCCUAGCUUUGGAUUUUAUUUGAGCGAUUACUCAUGGGAUAUUUCUCUCGCGAUACCGAGAGUGGAUGAUCCUCUAUUGACACUCAUUUGCCUUCGCAAAGUUGGUUGUCAUUCCCGAUAACCAGCUAUACCAGAUCUGGAACUUGCAAACCUGUAAAUUCAGCAUCAAAGAAUAGAGUACUCAUACAAGACAUAUUCGGUGUCUCAAGUCUAAGGAUCAGACAUACAAUUUGGACUAUGUAAUCAUUCUCUUACAUCGGGUAUCAUUAACUAUCCAACAUUUUAUAAGUGAAUCAUUGUACCUCUAGUCUCCCCACACGGGUGACUAUGAGAAUAUCCACCUCCAUCAUAUGAACGAGUAUAUAGCACACUAGUCUGUUUAGUUAUCUCGAUGUACCUCUUGAGUUUCCUAUGAUCGAGAUUAUUUAGGAUCUGUGUUUAAAAGUGAAUUGGUUUCAUUAUUGUGAUCUCAUCACGAUUCGAUUUUCAUUGCACAGAUCCAAGAAUAUCAUAGUAUACAUUCAAAUAAUAUAUAAUAUGAAAAAAUACCAACAAUAAUAAGCAAAGAGAUUGUCGCAGCAUGUCACAAGUGUCAUGACUCACAUGAUUGAUUUGUAUGGCAUCUAUAACUAACAAAUGCUACUUUCGUACAAUAAUAUUUAGAUAAAAAAGAAAAUGAAACAUAUUUUGUAUGUAUCGAAUCAAACGUUACAUAAGUCUCUUCUAACAUGUCUGAUGCUCCGGUUUAUAUUACAAAUAAUGUGCAAUGCUCGUUUUAACUCAAAAAUCGAAAGAAUAUGUAAGAUUGGUUAUUAUAAUUAAUUCUCUUAAAGUGAAAGUGAUAAUAACAUGUACUUAUCAUCGAUACUUAGAUAUGAUUUAUUUAAUAGAUCUUGACGAUUCAUGUUAUAUUUUAUAAUUCUAGUUAUUUGGUUUUCUUAUCUAGAUUUGUUAGGAUAUGUCUUAUUUUGGUGUUGAUAAACUUAGUGUAUUUAUAAUGUAAUAAAAAUUGAUUAUGAAAUUUUAUAUAAUUUUAUAAAAUUCUAGAUAUUAAAUACUCGAAGUUUCAAGAACUUUUAAAAUUAUAUAUACUUACAUUUAUGAACCACUUCAUGUAUCCUAUUUUAUGGAGAAUAUUUUAUUAUUUUUAUAGAUGACUUAUUGAAAUAUGAUAAUAUAUAUUUAUUUCAUAUAAAAUCUCUCACACCUUUAUGUAUAUAUAAAUAAAGUUAAUAGAUAAUUAAAUAAAAAGGUUAAAAUAAUUAGAUUUGAUGGGAGUGAUGAAUUUUAUAUUAAAUAUGAUGAGUCAAAUCAAAAUUAUUAUCUAUUAGUUAAAUUUUUAGUAAAUCGAGAUAUUUAUGCUCAAUAUUUAUUUCUAAGAGUGCCACAAUACAAUAGUAUUACUAAAAGGCAUAAUGAUCCUCAUAUGAUUAGGAGUAUAAUUAGUUUUUAAGUACUUGAUUCAAAGUAGGAUGAAACUCUUAAAAAUAUUAUAUAUAUCUUGAAUAAUAUCAUUAGUAGGUCAAUUCUAUCAACUCCAUUCAAGUUAUGAAUUUGUAGAAAACUUAGCUUAAGACAUUUACAUAUUUGAAUGGAUUUGUAGAAAACUAAGCUUAAGACAUUUACAUAUUUGGGAUUAUCAAGUAGAAAUAAGAGUAACCCAUAUGAAAAAAUAAAAGAUCUAAGAACUAUUUCUAAAUAUUUUUUUGAUUAUCUAAAAAAUUUAAAUAAUAUAAAUUUUAUUAUCCUAACUAUAGAUUGAGAAUAGUUGAGUCCGAUAAUAUAAUAUUUUUUUUUAAAUCAUGAAUUCAAUAUAAGUGAAAAACUCAAAGAUUUAAUAAUGAGAAGAUAUUAGUUAAUACUUCUUUUAUCAUUUCAUAUGAAAGAAGUUAGUCGUUAAAUUACUAAACAAAUAAAAGAAAACGAACAACAUAAUAGCAUCGAUGAACUUGAUCAACUUGAUGAAAAGAUCAACCACAAAUGACACCUUUAAGAAAAUCUUAAAUAGAAAAAAGACAUGUCAAAAUAUGGUAUAUAUAUAUAUAUAUAUAUAUAUAUAUAUAUAUAUAUAUAUGAAUAAAAAAUGAUCAUCAUUUUCAUAUACUAUAAAGAGUAGAGAUUCUAAGAAAUGAUACGAUAUAAUAAAAAAGAGUCAAAAUCGAUAGACUAAAAUAUUAUUUGGGAUAUCAUUAAAUUUUUAAUAAUUAUAAAAGAAUCGAUUAUAUUUAAUUCUGUAAGAUUAAACUUGAUUUAAAGGAUAAUAUCGAACGAUAUAAAACAUGAUCAAAAAUUUUAUUUUAAAAGAAGACAAUAUCCAUAACAAAUUUUUUUAUUUUUUUAAGAUAUGGGUUAUGUCAAAUAGAUAUGAAAAUAUUUUUUUUAAAUAGGAAUUUAGAUGAAAUCUAUAUGAAAUAAGGGUUCACAAAAAAAAAGAAAAAGUAAAUAUUUGGUUUGCAGAGUUAAGAAAUUUAAUUAUGACUUUAAGCAAACUUUUCAAACAAUAGGAUAUAAAAUUUUAUGAUAUUAAUUGUUGGUGUAAACAACUUUAAGUCGUGGCCUCGGGGCCAACGCGGCUUGGUUCGGGUCCGGAUGAUGAGGGAUCUUCCCGGGACAACCCUUGAGACCGCUAAGGUGGUCGGCCGCAGUGGUCCGAUCGGGAUGGGGUCACCGUUUCCUCCGAGAGGGGGCUCCUCGCCUGGGCGUCUAACGGGAGGCCUUCGUCUUGGCACCUGCACACAGGUCAGGUCGGGAGAGCUCGACCCAACCCCUCCGAUGUUCAAGUUAGUGAAUAGUCGUAGGGGGUUUAUUGGUUGUUCUCCUCCUUCCCUUCCCGUUUAGAAUGCGAGGGUAUUUAUAGGGAAGCUUACUGUGCCAGCUUACAGGGGGCAGGCUCGUACUCCUGGUAGCAUCUGACAGCGGUGUUGGCGUGGUGUGAAGGAUUGGGCCUAAGCAAGACGUUAAUGCGCCUCGGCCGACGUUCUGGUCCGUUUGACCAGGUGUUGUCGGGUCGAUCGAGGCGUGAGGCGUCAUCUGGGGCAGCUGACGUCAGCCCGAAUCUUGUCGCCAUUAUUAUCCUCAUCAUAUUCCCCCCCGGAAAGAAGCUAUGCGUCGAUCGUUGUAACGGGAGUCCGAGGCAUGGCUUCAGCUUUCAGUAUUUGUUCCUACCGUGCGUUUUACCGGUCCGUUGCCAGGAGUGUGGGAAUCGUGGAGUUUAGCAACUAAGAAGGGUUGGAUGUGCAGCGGUGACCCCGGGUAGUGUGCGGCCGAGGAGCACGGAGCACGACGCAGGCGGGCAGGCCGCGCAGGCGUGGUCUCGGGGAGCAUGGAGCCGAGGAGCACGACGCAAGCGGGCUGGCCGCGCAGGUGUGGUCUCGGGCAACAUGCGGCCAAGGAGCACGACGCAGGCCGCGCAGGUGUGGUCUCGGGCAACACACGGCCGAGGAGCACGACGCAGGCGGGCAGGCCGCGCUGAGGUGGACUCGGGUAGUCUACGGUCGAGGGACACGGCUCAGACGGGCAGGCCGCGCUGAGGUGGACGCGGGUAGUCUACGGCCGAGGGACACGGCUUAGGCGGGCAGGCCGCGCUGAGGUGGACUCGGGUAGUCUACGGCCGAGGGACAUGGCUCAGGCGGGCAGGCCGCGCUGAGGUGGACUCGGUUAGUCUACGACCGAGGGACACUGCUCAGGCGGGCAGGCCGCGCUGAGGUGGACGCGGGUAGUCUACGGCCGAGGGACACGGCUCAGGCGAGCAAGGCGCACUGAGGUGGACUCGGGUAGUCUACGGCCGAGGGACACGGCUCAGGCGGGCAGGCCACGCUGAGGUGGGCUCGGGUAGUCUAUGGCCGAGGGACACAGCUCAGGCGGGCAAGCCAUACUGAGGUGGACUCGGGUAGUCUACAACCGAGGGACGCGACUCAGCUAUGAGCUUGUCAGGUCGGGUCGGGCGAUCCCCUGACAUUCGGGCCCUCCUUCUAGCGCCAAAAUGUUGGUGUAAACAACUUUAAGUCAUGGCCUCGGGGCCGACGCGGCUUGGUUCGGGUCCCAAUGAUGGGGGAUCUUCCCGGGACGACCCUUGAGACCGCUGAGGUGGUCGGCCGUAGUGGUCCGAUCAGGACGGAGUCACCGUUUCCUCCGAGAGGGGGCUCCUCGCCUGGGCGUCUAGCGGGAGGCCUCCGUCUUCACACCUGCACACAAGUCGGGUCGGGAGAGCUCGACCCGAACCCUCCGACGUUCAAGUCAGUGAAUAGUCGCAGGGGGUUUGUUGGUUGUUCUCCUCCUCCCCUUCCCGUUUAGAAUGCGAGGGUAUUUAUAGAGAAGCUUAUUGUGCCCACUUGCAGGGGGCAGGCUCGUACUCCUAGUAGCGUCUGACAGCGGUGUUGGCAUGACGUGAAGGAUUGGACCUAAGCAGGACGUUAAUGUGUCUCGGCCGGCGUUCUGGUCCGUUUGACCAGGUGCUGUCGGGUCGAUCGAGAUAUGAGGCGUCAUUUGGGGCAACCGACGUCAGCCCGAAUCUUGUUGUCAUUAUUAUCCUCAUCAUUAAUAUAUCUUUCGAAUUCAAUAAAAAUAUUAUUGAUUUGUAUAUAUAUUUUAAAAUGAAUAAAAAUAAAUUUAUUAUUUUAAUCUUUUAUGUAGAUGAUAUUGUGUUAGGUAGAUCACCGUUGCAAUGGUCGAAAGGCGAGAACGAUACCACCGAGGGAGGCCAACCAGGAUGAGGUCGGAGGUGCCGGCGGUGCGAGAGGGGUGGCGGAAGCCUGACGUUUUGGUUUGGGAUGAGGAUCCUCUCAAACAGUACUUGUAAAGGAAUUCUCCAAUUAUAAAUCUCAACCGUCCACUAGAAACAGUUACGGCUCAACCAUCCGUCCAAUCGGAUCCAACUAAUAAUUUGGAAAAAUCCGACCCGAUUGGCUUUGUGGCUAAAUAAAUCGAACCGCAUAUGUCGGGCCUGAGCGUAGAAGUUGGUCGAACCAAACAUAAACCGGACACGAGUAUUUGGUUCGUAAAUUGCCGAUCUGGUUAACAGAGACAGUACGAUCUUCUAGAAGCAGGUUCCGGGUCCAACACCGACGGCUUUGGAUGGCCGCUCCGAAGAACGCGUGGGACAAGAUCGUUGGAAUUCCAAGCCGCCGGCAGCGGUUAGCGCUUACCGAAUGGAUUGACCAUGAUUUGCGCUUACAUAACGGGGCUUCGCCGCUGGACGGGCAACCAUUCGCUACCACUGAGCCAUGGCUAUUCCGGAGGUCGUCCUGAGCUCCACCUCUCCCGCCACAGGCGCCCGGGCGAUCCCCGUGCUAGGCAUGGGCACCGGGUUGGACCGCUCCGCCCUCGAGCAGCGCCCCGCCACCAAGCACGCCAUCCUCCGCGCCAUCGAGCUCGGGUACCGCCACUUCGACACCGCCGCCAUCUACCAGUCCGAGGACGUUCUCGGCGAGGCCAUCGCCGAGGCCUUGCAGGCCGGCCUCAUCCACUCCCGUGCCGAGCUCUUCAUCACCUCCAAGAUCUGGUGCGCCGACGCUCACCGUGACCUGGUCGUCCCCGCCAUCCGCGAGUCUCUCAGGUGAAGAAGAAUAGCUUCAUGCUCCUCUUUUACUGCUUUCUUCUGCUUCGAGUUGAUGCAAAUUACGGGGAUUAACAUUGAUUUCCUGUCAUAAUUUUGUGAUUUGAUCUCU
rnacentral:lncRNA from 1 species